UACGAAGGGGGCUAGCGUUGUUCGGAAUCACUGGGCGUAAAGCGCGCGUAGGCGGAUCAUUAAGUCAGGGGUGAAAUCCCGAGGCUCAACCUCGGAACUGCCUUUGAUACUGGUGAUCUGGAGUCCGGGAGAGGUGAGUGGAACUCCUAGUGUAGAGGUGAAAUUCGUAGAUAUUAGGAAGAACACCAGUGGCGAAGGCGGCUCACUGGCCCGGUACUGACGCUGAUGCGCGAAAGCGUGGGGAGCAAACAGG
rnacentral:rRNA from 1 species